CCGCAAUGCAGCCGCCACGAGACCCCAUCACCGCGCGAGCCAUCCCCGGCGUCGACGCCUCCUCCACGGCUGUAGUCGCCACCGCGCCCACCGAGGUCCCGCUAGCAUGGCCCCCGACCUCGUCGCUCAGUGUUGGUGCGAGAUCGAGGCCAUCAGCCCCACCACGCCGCGAUCCGCCAACACUGCUGACCCGGGCUCCUCGCCCUCUGCCUUCGACUCUGACACCGGCUCGUCGCUCGGCCACAUCGGCUGCCUACGCUCGAUCCGUCGUGCCGCCUCUCCGUCCUUAUUCGUCGCGUUCGUCCUCGGCUUCCUCUUCUGCCUUCCCCGCGAUGCCUCCCCGCGUCAUCGCCCACCAGCGUCAUCGCGUAGGCCUCACUCGAGACAGACAUGGCAGUGGAUUGGGUGUUUGGUUCUCUUUGCAGCAAUUGGAGGCGAACAGGAAGACACUGUAGAGGCACUCUCGCGCGCUGUUCAACGCAGUGGCAACAGAGGUGGCAUCAAGGGGCACCGAUGGCGGCAACACGCUGUCGCAGCGUGUGGUGGAGAGACAGUGUAGGUCAGACCUGGCAAACAGGACAUGGGAGACGGACAUGAUCUCCAUGCAGGAGAACAUGUCUGCCAGGACACUCACGCUCUCUAGCUCCGCGCAGCGGACAAUUGUGCGGUUCGUUAAGCUGCCAUUGGUUGACAAGAUCCCUCUGCAUACCGCUUGGAUCUCCCUGGAAAAGUUACUGGUAUUCUUGUGUUCAUAUGUUUUGCAAUCGGCUAACCAUGGGCAUUAUUUUGUGAUAUUCAUGGUCAUUCUAAGGAGAUUGGACUUUAUGCGUAAUGGGUCGUGCAAGUAUACUUGCGUUUAUUUGCUUGAUUAAUUCGUGAUAUUGAUGAAGAAAUUCCAGAUCCAGAGGAAUAGAAACACUUUUUCACAAAGGGAGAAGAUCAUUUGCGCUACAGUGCGACGACGCCCAGGGCCAAGGUGCUGAAGGAGGUGAGGAACGUCGCAGUAAUGAUCUCCAUGGAGAAGGGUGCGAUGGCCAGAGGUAGUGGGCAUCACCAGCACGGCGGCCACAGGCACGAUGGCUAGCAGCAACAGCAAUUGCUGCUUCAACGACAAGCGUGCGCGAGCUCUGAGCAGACUCAAGCGAUCCUAUCAUGUAGUUCAUUGUAUUUCACCAUUCAUUUUUCUUUUUUUACGUCCAUGUGAGAUGAGGUUGUUCGUUCGGCGAGUGGAGUGGUGGGAAAGCCACAGAGGUAUACGAGAUUUAUGUUAAUCCCCCACCCCAAAGAGUCUUCCCUAUCCAUCUCGCUGAAAUGUGGCGACGCUUAGAUAUCGUGUCAUCAUACUGGGACGCUUUUAUUGCACGCAACGUGUGAUCUUGUUUCU